rnacentral:rRNA from 1 species
GAAGUCGUAACCGGUACCCGUAGAUUUUGAUCCUGGCCCCUAGAGUUUUCUCCGGGCUGCCGAAAAUUGUAACCGGGGUCCCUAAUGUUUUGAACCGGGCCCCGUCAUGGUGGAUAACUACCCCAAAGCGUUUCUAAUACCGCAUACGCCCUGAGGGGGAAAGUGGGGGAUCUUCGGACCUCACGUGAUUGGAGCGGCCGAUGUCAGAUUAGCUAGUUGGUGAGGUAAAGGCUCACCAAGGCGACGAUCUGUAGCGGGUCUGAGAGGAUGAUCCGCCACACUGGGACUGAGACACGGCCCAACUCCUACGGGAGGCAGCAGUGGGGAAUUUUGGACAAUGGGCGCAAGCCUGAUCCAGGCGUGCCGCGUGAGUGAAAAGGCCUUCGGGUUGUAAAGCUCUUUCGCAAGGGAAGAAAACGUGUGGGCUAAUAUCCUGCGCGGAUGACGGUACCUUGACAAGAAGCACCGGCUAACUACUGCCACAGCCGCGGUAAUACGUAGGGUGCGAGCGUUAAUCGAAUUACUGGGCGUAAAGCGUGCCAGCGGUUGUGUAAACAGGUGUGAAAUCCCCGGGCUAACCUGGGAACUGCCUUGUGACUGCCCGGUAAAUACGGCAAAGGGGGUGGAAUUCUGGUGUACAUG